AGAGUGAACGCUGGCGGUAGGCCUAACACAUGCAAGUCGAACGGCAGCACGGUAAGAGCUUGCUCUUAUGGGUGGCGAGUGGCGGACGGGUGAGGAAUACAUCGGAAUCUACCUUUUGGUGGGGGAUAACGUAGGGAAACUUACGCUAAUACCGCAUACGCCCUUCGGGGGAAAGCCGGGGACCAGCAAUGGCCUGGUGCUGAUAGAUGAGCCGAUGUCGGAUUAGCUAGUUGGUGAGGUAAUGGCUCACCAAGGCGACGAUCCGUAGCUGGUCUGAGAGGAUGAUCAGCCACACUGGAACUGAGACACGGUCCAGACUCUACGGGAGCAGCAGUGGGGAAU
rnacentral:rRNA from 1 species